rnacentral:rRNA from 1 species
GAAAUAGACGAUAACGUAAUACGUGAAUUGCACGAAAGUUCAGUGAAGGUCAGUCGAAUCUUUGAACGCACCUUGCGCCCUCUGGUAUUCCGGAGGGCAUGCCCGGUUGAGUGUCAUGAAUAUCUCAAACCCAGUGCUUUGUUUGAAGGUCUCAUCGACUUGCUGCUGUUGCCUAGCGAGGCUUUGGCAGUCGUUGUGGGGCUGAAGCGCUGGGGCUUGGACUUGAGCCUGUGUUGGCCUUGCGUCGACUGGCUCGAAAUCUAUGAGCGAUGUGUGAUCCUUUGGGUCUGUCUCGGCGUGAUAAGUUGAUCGUCGCAAGGAUUCCGUUGGGUGUGGCACGGCUUCUAAUCGUCUUAGGACAACCUCUGACAUUUACACCUCAACUCGGGUAGGACUACCCGCUGAACUUAAGCAUAUCAAUAAGCGGAGGAAAAAGAAACUAACAAGGAUUCCCCUAGU